CCAAUAGCGUAUAUUAAAGUUGUUGCAGUUAAAAAGCUCGUAGUUGAAUUUCGGAAUCAGUACGCUGGUCGUGCCUCCGGUAUGAACUGGUGUCACUGGUUCCUCCCUUCUGAAGAACCAUCAUGCCAUUCACUUGGUGUGGUGGGAAAUCAGGACUGUUACUUUGAAAAAAUUAGAGUGUUUAAAGCAGGCUCACGCUUGAAUACAUUAGCAUGGAAUAAUGAAAUAGGACGUUGAUCUUAUUUUGUUGGUUUCUAGGAUUGACGUAAUGAUUAAUAGGGAUAGUUGGGGGCAUUAGUAUUCAAUUGUCAGAGGUGAAAUUCUUGGAUUUAUUGAAGACUAACUACUGCGAAAGCAUUUGCCAAGGAUGUUUUCAUUAAUCAAGAACGAAAGUUAGGGGAUCGAAGACGAUCAGAUACCGUCGUAGUCUUAACCAUAAACUAUGCCGACUAGGGAUCGGAUGAUGUUAAUUUUUUAAUGACUCAUUCGGCGCCUUACGG
rnacentral:rRNA from 1 species